GUGCUCACUUCAGCAGCAUGUAUACUAAAAUUGGAAUGAUGUGGGGAAGAGAGGCGUGACCCCGCGCAAGGAUGUCAUGCAAAUCCACGAAGCAGUCCAUAUUUCU
rnacentral:snRNA from 1 species